rnacentral:rRNA from 1 species
AGAGUUUGAUCCUGGCUCAGGAUCAACGCUGGCGGCGUGCCUAAUGCAUGUAAGUCGAACGGGGACUUCUUCGGAAGUCUUACGUGGCGGACGGGUGAGGAACACGUGGGCAACCUGCCCUUUGAUGGGGGAUAGCCUUUGGAAACAGAGGGUAAUACCGCAUACGUUCCUGUCCCGAGUGGGGGAGAGGAAGAAAGCCUGUGGGCGUCAAAGGAGGGGCCUGCGUCCGAUUAGCUAGACGGUGGGGUAACGGCCUACCGUGGCGAUGAUCGGUAGCUGGUUUGAGAGGAUGAUCAGCCACACGGGGACUGAGACACGGCCCCGACUCCUACGGGAGGCAGCAGCAAGGAAUUUUCCACAAUGGACGAAAGUCUGAUGGAGCAACGCCGCGUGUGGGAUGACGCUUUUCGGAGUGUAAACCACUGUUCAUGGGGACGAAGCACUGACGGUACCCAUGGAGGAAGGCCCGGCUAACUACGUGCCAGCAGCCGCGGUAAUACGUAGGGGUCGAGCGUUGUCCGGAGUUACUGGGCGUAAAGCGCAUGCAGGCGGCUCAUUACGCAUGGCGUGAAAGCCCCCGGCUCAACCGGGGAGGGUCGUCGUGAACGGGUGAGCUUGAGGGUAUCAGGGGCUGGUGGAAUUCCCGGUGUAGUGGUGAAAUGCGUAGAGAUCGGGAGGAGCACCUG